CCUGGCUCAGAACGAACGCUGGCGGCAGGCCUAAUACAUGCAAGUCGAGCGCGCCCUUCGGGGUGAGCGGCGGACGGGUGAGUAACGCGUGGGAAUAUGCCCUUCUCUAAGGAAUAGCCUCUGGAAACGGAGAGUAAUACCUUAUACGCCCUUUGGGGGAAAGAUUUAUCGGAGAAGGAUUAGCCCGCGUUAGAUUAGGUAGUUGGUGGGGUAAUGGCCUACCAAGCCUACGAUCUAUAGCUGGUUUGAGAGGAUGAUCAGCCACACUGGGACUGAGACACGGCCCAGACUCCUACGGGAGGCAGCAGUAGGGAAUCUUAGACAAUGGGGGCAACCCUGAUCUAGCCAUGCCGCGUGUGUGAUGAAGGCCCUAGGGUCGUAAAGCACUUUCGCCAGAGAUGAUAAUGACAGUAUCUGGUAAAGAAACCCCGGCUAACUCCGUGCCAGCAGCCGCGGUAAUACGGAGGGGGUUAGCGUUGUUCGGAAUUACUGGGCGUAAAGCGCACGUAGGCGGAUUAGUAAGUUAGAGGUGAAAUCCCAGGGCUCAACCCUGGAACUGCCUUUAAUACUGCUAGUCUUGAGUUCGAGAGAGGUAAGUGGAAUUCCGAGUGUAGAGGUGAAAUUCGUAGAUAUUCGGAGGAACACCAGUGGCGAAGGCGGCUUACUGGCUCGAUACUGACGCUGAGGUGCGAAAGUGUGGGGAGCAAACAGGAUUAGAUACCCUGGUAGUCCACACCGUAAACGAUGAAUGCCAGACGUCAGCAAGUAUACUUGUUUGGUGUC
rnacentral:rRNA from 1 species